GGGGGGGGUCUUAAGUAUAAGGCACUUUAUACUGUGAAACUGCGAAUGGCUCAUUAAAUCAGUUAUCGUUUAUUUGAUAGUACCUUACUACAUGGAUACCUGUGGUAAUUCUAGAGCUAAUACAUGCUAAAAACCUCGACUUCGGAAGGGGUGUAUUUAUUAGAUAAAAAACCAAUGCCCUUCGGGGCUCCUUGGUGAUUCAUAAUAACUUAACGAAUCGCAUGGCCUUGCGCCGGCGAUGGUUCAUUCAAAUUUCUGCCCUAUCAACUUUCGAUGGUAGGAUAGUGGCCUACCAUGGUGGCAACGGGUAACGGGGAAUUAGGGUUCGAUUCCGGAGAGGGAGCCUGAGAAACGGCUACCACAUCCAAGGAAGGCAGCAGGCGCGCAAAUUACCCAAUCCCGACACGGGGAGGUAGUGACAAUAAAUACUGAUACGGGGCUCUUUUGGGUCUCGUAAUUGGAAUGAGUACAAUCUAAAUCCCUUAACGAGGAACAAUUGGAGGGCAAGUCUGGUGCCAGCAGCCGCGGUAAUUCCAGCUCCAAUAGCGUAUAUUAAAGUUGUUGCAGUUAAAAAGCUCGUAGUUGAACCUUGGGUCUGGCUGGCCGGUCCGCCUCACCGCGAGUACUGGUCCGGCUGGACCUUUCCUUCUGGGGAACCUCAUGGCCUUCACUGGCUGUGGGGGGAACCAGGACUUUUACUGUGAAAAAAUUAGAGUGUUCAAAGCAGGCCUUUGCUCGAAUACAUUAGCAUGGAAUAAUAGAAUAGGACGUGCGGUUCUAUUUUGUUGGUUUCUAGGACCGCCGUAAUGAUUAAUAGGGAUAGUCGGGGGCGUCAGUAUUCAGCUGUCAGAGGUGAAAUUCUUGGAUUUGCUGAAGACUAACUACUGCGAAAGCAUUCGCCAAGGAUGUUUUCAUUAAUCAGGGAACGAAAGUUAGGGGAUCGAAGACGAUCAGAUACCGUCGUAGUCUUAACCAUAAACUAUGCCGACUAGGGAUCGGGCGGUGUUUCUAUGAUGACCCGCUCGGCACCUUACGAGAAAUCAAAGUUUUUGGGUUCUGGGGGGAGUAUGGUCGCAAGGCUGAAACUUAAAGAAAUUGACGGAAGGGCACCACAAGGCGUGGAGCCUGCGGCUUAAUUUGACUCAACACGGGGAAACUCACCAGGUCCAGACAAAAUAAGGAUUGACAGAUUGAGAGCUCUUUCUUGAUCUUUUGGAUGGUGGUGCAUGGCCGUUCUUAGUUGGUGGAGUGAUUUGUCUGCUUAAUUGCGAUAACGAACGAGACCUCGGCCCUUAAAUAGCCCGGUCCGCGUUUGCGGGCCGCUGGCAUCUUAGUGUGAGGUAUCGGCUA
rnacentral:rRNA from 1 species